rnacentral:rRNA from 1 species
UACGUAGGGGGCAAGCGUUGUCCGGAAUCACUGGGCGUAAAGCGCACGUAGGCGGAUCUUUAAGUCAGGGGUGAAAUCCCAAGGCUCAACCUUGGAACUGCCUUUGAUACUGGGGAUCUCGAGUCCGGAAGAGGUUGGUGGAACUGCGAGUGUAGAGGUGAAAUUCGUAGAUAUUCGCAAGAACACCAGUGGCGAAGGCGGCCAACUGGUCCGGUACUGACGCUGAGGUGCGAAAGCGUGGGGAGCAAACAGG